rnacentral:rRNA from 1 species
CGAGCGGACCGACGGGAGCUUGCUCCCUUAGGUCAGCGGCGGACGGGUGAGUAACACGUGGGUAACCUGCCUGUAAGACUGGGAUAACUCCGGGAAACCGGGGCUAAUACCGGAUGCUUGAUUGAACCGCAUGGUUCAAUCAUAAAAGGUGGCUUUUAGCUACCACUUGCAGAUGGACCCGCGGCGCAUUAGCUAGUUGGUGAGGUAACGGCUCACCAAGGCGACGAUGCGUAGCCGACCUGAGAGGGUGAUCGGCCACACUGGGACUGAGACACGGCCCAGACUCCUACGGGAGGCAGCAGUAGGGAAUCUUCCGCAAUGGACGAAAGUCUGACGGAGCAACGCCGCGUGAGUGAUGAAGGUUUUCGGAUCGUAAAACUCUGUUGUUAGGGAAGAACAAGUACCGUUCGAAUAGGGCGGUACCUUGACGGUACCUAACCAGAAAGCCACGGCUAACUACGUGCCAGCAGCCGCGGUAAUACGUAGGUGGCAAGCGUUGUCCGGAAUUAUUGGGCGUAAAGCGCGCGCAGGCGGUUUCUUAAGUCUGAUGUGAAAGCCCCCGGCUCAACCGGGGAGGGUCAUUGGAAACUGGGGAACUUGAGUGCAGAAGAAGAGAGU